rnacentral:tRNA from 1 species
GCAGUGGUGGUUCAGUGAUAGAAUUCUCACCUUCUAUGAGGGAGACCUGGGAUCAAUUUCCGGUCAAUGCA